rnacentral:misc_RNA from 1 species
GAUGAAGAACGCAGCGAAAUGCGAUACGUAAUGUGAAUUGCAGAAUUCAGUGAAUCAUCGAAUCUUUGAACGCAUAUUGCGCUCUCUGGUAUUCCGGAGAGCAUGCUUGUUUGAGUAUCAGUAAACACCUCAACUUCCAUAUCUUUUUUGAAAUGGGAGUUGGACUUGAGUGAUCCCAACGCUUUUCCUCACCGAAAAGUGGCGGGUUACUUGAAAUGCAGGUGCAGCUGGACUUUUCUCUGAGCUAUAAGCAUAUCUAUUUAGUCUGCCUAAAAACAGAUUAUUACCUUUGCUGCAGCUAACAUAAAGGAGAUUAGUUCUUGUGCUGACUGAUGCAGGAUUCACAAAGACAGGCUUCGGCCGACUUUGUAAACUCGAUCCCAAAUCAAGUAAGACUACCCGCUGAACUUAAGCAUAUCAAUAAGCGGAGGA